GCCCGGGUGGUGAAAUUGGUAGACACACAAGACUUAAAAUCUUGCGCUGAAUAAGCGUACCGGUUCGAUUCCGGUCCCGGGCA
rnacentral:tRNA from 2 species